rnacentral:lncRNA from 1 species
GGCCAAGCAAGGAAGAGAGGGAAAGAAAGGAAAAACAAAACCUAGGUGAGGAAUUUCAAGAGAAAAAGUGUGGAAAAUCAAGGAAAACAAGUGAAAAAGGUAAGAUUUUCAACUUAAGCUUGAAAUCUAUUUUCGUUAAGCAUUUCUCUUCAUUUUCCAUGCUCAAAUUGCAUGUUUUUAUGAUGAAUUGUUGGCUGAUCAAAAUGGGUUAGGAGAGAGAAAGUUGUUGGAUUUAUUUGAUUUUAAUUUAUGUUAGUGUUUUUAGUUAGUUUAGCAUAUUUAGAAACAAAACAACAAGAAAAGAAUUUAUUUUCUCCCACAACCAUUAAUGGCUGAAUUUAUCAUGCAGUGAGUGAGGAUGAGUUUGAUUUUUAUUCUAGUAUAAUUGGUUAAGAAAUGAUGAAUAAUGAGCCUAGAAAAAUAAUGAGAAUUUUCGGAGCAAAAAUACGAAUUUUCACCCACUAGGGGUAUUUUCAUAAUUUACUAUCGAGACUGAUAAUUUGCACCACACUGAGGGACAUUAAGUUAAUUUGGGUGCAAUUGAGGUAUAGAAACUGAAAAGAAUUAAAUUGGAGUUUAAAUGGACGCGUUAGGAAUUUAAUCGGGUGAUAAGACGAAUUAGGCCAAUACCGGGUUUAGAUAGUUACCAGUGCAUUUUUGCAUUCCAUAUCAUGCAUUGGUAGUCUAAAUUAGUUUAAUUUUGAUUUAGUACCAACUUGGUGAAAUUCUCGAUUUUGUACUGUGUCAAGGUGGUGAGUCCUCCGAUAAAGGCAAGGAAAUUGCAUCCGAGGACCAGUAGACAGAGUGCUUCGAAAGUCUGCAUUCUAGACAUUGUGAGUAAACUUACUGUCAUUUUAAUUAUCUAGGGUGGUUUUUAGAUGCUUUCAUGAAUUCUAUGGAAAAAGGAAUUUAAAAAGAUAAAUUUUCAUGUUUUAUGAAUAAAUGAGUUUCAAUGAAAUUAAAUUAUAAAUUGUUUUGAAAUUAAUAGUGAUUUUGAAAAAUAGAGUACACGGAGACUGUUAAUUGUGGCAAUUUGAUUGUUUAAAUUAACUGGCUUAUGAUAAAUCGAGCAUGAUUGGCUAGUUGGCAAUUGUAUUGAAAUGCGAAUUGUUUGGUUACCUUGAAAAACUACGAAUUACAAAAUUGCCAUAUCAUGUUAUUGAGUUUUAUUAUAUGGUGGAUUAUAUAUUAAUUAAUCACUGCAGUAGGGGGUUUCUGUGGACCAGCCUUUUAGAGGGGCACGGUAAACCCCAUUAUAUUCUUACCUCGAACGGAGAGGCGCGUAGGGUAUCUCCUGGGGUAAAGUUUAGGGUUCACUUCACGCUAAACCACCACGUGAGGGGGAACUCAGCCAACGCCAAGGAACGGCUAUGUUUUCAAAACAAAAACAUGAUUUAUGUGAAAUGUGAAUUUUAAUAGCCUUGGCGGUCUCGGUAGGAUGCCUCGGCCAAGGUGUCCCCGAGAAUGGAUUUAUGGCACAAGCCUAGAUUUUUAUGAGAUUCAUAAGCCUCUUUACGUGUUUUGAACAAAAUGUGUUCUAAUGCUAUAACCCAGUUUAUGAUGAUUUACUUUAUUGUCUCCAUGUACUCAACUCUAGAUGUUUAUGAUGAUGUUUGUUUACUCAUUGGGAUUUUAUAAUCUCACCACCCUCCUUUCCACCCAUUUCAGGUUCAGUAUAGACUGUAGAUAGCUGAUCUCAUCGAGGACUACAGUGGGAUCUGCAUUUUCCAAACCGUAGGUUCACAGUCCUCUUUACUUUUGUUUAUUCGGGGGCCCUCUUGUUAUUGUAAAUUAAAUUAAAUAUUUUG